CCAUUUCAGUACUUUUAAAUUUACUGAUGACCCAAGUAUUAUAGUAAUAAAUUUAUGUUAUGUCAACAGUUGAGUCUAUAUUUAUGCGUCUAAAUUAUCAAUGAAUCAUAUUGCUGCAUGAACUCUCCUCUGCAGGGCCCCACAUACACAUUGCAUGUCAUUUAUUCGAUCACAUUUGCCACGAGAAAAAUCGCCGACAGAAUUGCUAUAGUG